UACGAAGGGGGCUAGCGUUGUUCGGAAUUACUGGGCGUAAAGGGCGCGUAGGCGGUUAUACAAGUUAGGCGUGAAAGCCCUGGGCUCAACCCGGGAACUGCGUUUAAGACUGUAUGGCUUGAGUUUAGGAGAGGAUAGUGGAAUUCCAAGUGUAGAGGUGAAAUUCGUAGAUAUUUGGAGGAACACCAGUGGCGAAGGCGGCUAUCUGGCCAUAAACUGACGCUGAGGCGCGAUAGCGUGGGGAGCAAACAGG
rnacentral:rRNA from 1 species